rnacentral:rRNA from 1 species
AUUGAACGCUGGCGGCAUGCUUUACACAUGCAAGUCGAACGGCAGCGCGGGGCAACCUGGCGGCGAGUGGCGAACGGGUGAGUAAUAUAUCGGAACGUACCCAAGAGUGGGGGAUAACGUAGCGAAAGUUACGCUAAUACCGCAUACGAUCUCAGGAUGAAAGCAGGGGACCGCAAGGCCUUGUGCUCCUGGAGCGGCCGAUAUCUGAUUAGCUAGUUGGGAGGUAAAGGCUCACCAAGGCGACGAUCAGUAGCUGGUCUGAGAGGACGACCAGCCACACUGGAACUGAGACACGGUCCAGACUCCUACGGGAGGCAGCAGUGGGGAAUUUUGGACAAUGGGCGAAAGCCUGAUCCAGCAAUGCCGCGUGAGUGAAGAAGGCC